CGGGGUGUGGCGCAGUUGGUAGCGCGCGGGAUUCGGGUUCCCGAGGCCGGAGGUUCAAGUCCUCUCACCCCGA
rnacentral:tRNA from 1 species